rnacentral:rRNA from 1 species
UGCAGUCGAGCGGUAGAGAGAAGCUUGCUUCUCUUGAGAGCGGCGGACGGGUGAGUAAUGCCUAGGAAUCUGCCUGGUAGUGGGGGAUAACGUUCGGAAACGAACGCUAAUACCGCAUACGUCCUACGGGAGAAAGCAGGGGACCUUCGGGCCUUGCGCUAUCAGAUGAGCCUAGGUCGGAUUAGCUAGUUGGUGAGGUAAUGGCUCACCAAGGCGACGAUCCGUAACUGGUCUGAGAGGAUGAUCAGUCACACUGGAACUGAGACACGGUCCAGACUCCUACGGGAGGCAGCAGUGGGGAAUAUUGGACAAUGGGCGAAAGCCUGAUCCAGCCAUGCCGCGUGUGUGAAGAAGGUCUUCGGAUUGUAAAGCACUUUAAGUUGGGAGGAAGGGCAGUUACCUAAUACGUGAUUGUUUUGACGUUACCGACAGAAUAAGCACCGGCUAACUCUGUGCCAGCAGCCGCGGUAAUACAGAGGGUGCAAGCGUUAAUCGGAAUUACU